UACGUAGGGGGCAAGCGUUGUCCGGAAUCAUUGGGCGUAAAGCGCGUGUAGGCGGCUCGAUAAGUCUGCUGUGAAAGUUCAGGGCUCAACCCUGAAAUGCCGGUGGAAACUGUCGAGCUAGAGUACGGAAGAGGUGAGUGGAAUUCCUGGUGUAGCGGUGAAAUGCGCAGAUAUCAGGAAGAACACCCGUGGCGAAGGCGGCUCUCUGGGACGGUACUGACGCUGAGACGCGAAAGCGUGGGGAGCGAACAGG
rnacentral:rRNA from 1 species